rnacentral:rRNA from 1 species
AUUGAACGCUGGCGGCAGGCCUAACACAUGCAAGUCGAGCGGAUGAAGGGAGCUUGCUCCUGGAUUCAGCGGCGGACGGGUGAGUAAUGCCUAGGAAUCUGCCUGGUAGUGGGGGAUAACGUCCGGAAACGGGCGCUAAUACCGCAUACGUCCUGAGGGAGAAAGUGGGGGAUCUUCGGACCUCACGCUAUCAGAUGAGCCUAGGUCGGAUUAGCUAGUUGGUGGGGUAAAGGCCUACCAAGGCGACGAUCCGUAGCUGGUCUGAGAGGAUGAUCAGUCACACUGGAACUGAGACACGGUCCAGACUCCUACGGGAGGCAGCAGUGGGGAAUAUUGGACAAUGGGCGAAAGCCUGAUCCAGCAAUGCCGCGUGUGUGAAGAAGGUCUUCGGAUUGUAAAGCACUUUAAGUUGGGAAGAAGGGCAGUAAGUUAAUACCUUGGUGUUUUGACGGUACCAACAGAAUAAGCACCGGCUAACUUCGUG